UAGAAUAUUGUGUAAUUAGGUAGCACGAAGAAUUUUGAGUUCUUAAGUAUAGGUUCGAUUCCUGUAAUUCUAG